GGCAGUGGGCGGGGCGUGCCUCAGGGACGUUACAACUCGCCGAGGUUGGCGGCGGCGCCAUUUUGAACUGGCUGAGGGUCGGGGGCGGUGGUGGCUGGAGGGAGCUCCGCGUUCCCCGAGAAAGCCAGCGAGGAGGGAGCGAGUUCUGAAUAUGGCAGCGAACAGGAACUUGAAGCAAGUGCGGAUCGAGAAUAGCUCCCCAGCGGCGCCGCUGGGCAUGGUGGGGGGCGGUGGUGGCGGCAGCGGCAACCUGAAGGGAUUGCGGGGCCUAGAAACAGAAAGUGAGGCAGCGGCGGCCAUGGCGCUAGUGCCGAGCAAAGAAGGUGGAGAUGAAGAGCAGGAGGUUGGGUUCACCAUCGACAUCAAAAGCUUCCUCAAACCUGGUGAGAAGAGCUACACGCAACGCUGCAGGCUUUUCGUGGGGAAUCUGCCUACCGAUAUCACAGAGGAAGAUUUCAAGCGCCUCUUCGAACGCUAUGGGGAGCCUAGCGAGGUCUUCAUCAACAGGGACCGUGGCUUUGGCUUCAUUCGCCUGGAAUCUAGGACACUGGCUGAAAUAGCAAAGGCGGAACUUGAUGGUACUAUUUUGAAGAGCAGACCACUUCGAAUUCGAUUUGCUACACAUGGAGCUGCCCUAACAGUCAAGAAUCUGUCACCUGUGGUUUCUAAUGAGCUGCUGGAACAAGCAUUCUCUCAAUUUGGGCCAGUGGAAAGAGCUGUUGUUGUAGUAGAUGAUCGUGGCAGAGCUACAGGAAAAGGUUUCGUAGAGUUUGCAGCAAAACCUCCAGCGCGAAAAGCUCUAGAAAGAUGCAGUGAUGGGGCAUUCUUGCUAACAACAACACCUCGACCUGUUGUUGUAGAGCCAAUGGAGCAAUUUGAUGAUGAAGAUGGGCUCCCAGAGAAGCUAAUGCAAAAAACACAACAGUAUCACAAGGAAAGAGAACAGCCUCCACGUUUUGCUCAGCCUGGAACAUUUGAGUUUGAGUAUGCUUCACGGUGGAAGGCUCUUGAUGAGAUGGAAAAGCAACAGCGUGAACAGGUUGACAGGAACAUUAGAGAAGCCAAAGAGAAACUAGAGGCAGAAAUGGAAGCAGCUAGACAUGAGCAUCAGCUAAUGCUGAUGAGGCAAGAUCUUAUGCGACGUCAAGAAGAAUUGAGGCGUUUGGAAGAACUUCGAAAUCAAGAACUUCAAAAACGCAAGCAGAUCCAAUUGAGACAUGAGGAAGAACAUCGACGUCGUGAAGAAGAGAUGAUGCGGCAGAGAGAACAGGAGGAAUUACGACGACAGCAGGAGGGAGGAUUCAAACCAAAUUUCAUGGACAAUGACCAGAGGCAAUGGUCAAACUGAAGCACAGGAGUCUCUGUCUGAACAUCAGGAAACAAGUUUUUAAUAUGAGGGUGACCAACCACUGGCUCAGAUUGGCCAGGGACAUUGUGGAGUCUCCAUCCUUGUAGAUACCAGAAGCUGGCUGGACAUGGUCCUGGGUGAUCCUGGGCAUCAGCUAUGAGUGGCCCUGCUUGAGCAGGGAGUUGGACCAGGUGAUCUCUAGAGGCCCCUUCCAAUAUUAACCCUUCUAUUGUUCUGUUACGUAAAUAAAGCUUUAACUUUAUUGAACUGCGUAUGAGUUCACAUUAAAGUUCUGUGAUAUGCUUAGGUAUUUGAAUGCUUCCUUACUCGGUUUCAUUUCAACAUAGAUGUAUCUAUUGCUUAGUGCUGUUAAAUUUUACAUUUUCAAAUGAAGCACUUCAAAGAUGAAAGCUCUUUGAGUGAAUCUUGAGUUGUUGCUCUUUAUAAGGACCAUGUGACCACAGCUUGCCCUGCCCUUUCCCCCAGCACAGUCUUAUGGCUUCAGAGAUUUUAGUCCCACAAAGAUAAUCAAUUCAGCUGUCAUGAUUUUGGAAGAGGAGGUUAGGACACUGGCCUAACUUGGCAUCUGCUUCAAAAAUAACAGGUUACUGUUAAAAUCUUAAAAUGCGGAUGAAGACUGGCUCGUGCAGAAUCCUUCUGCUAUAUUACACAUACAGCAGGAAAUCUAAACGAAGUUUUGUACAAGGUAUGUAUUAGAGUAUUUGGUUUUAUUCAUCAAGUACUGAAAUUAUGAACCCUCUUUUUAUGUUCAUAUUUGUGAUAUGAUGUACAGUAAUUCUGCUUUUACACUUCAAGUAAUACUUGCUUUCAGAUAGUGUAAUUCUUUACGUAAUUCCUGUUACACAUUAGCAUGUUUUUAAAGGACUUGAAAUAUACGUACACAGACAGCUCAAAAUCUGAUUAGCCAUCAUGUUUCUUACAUCUGAAGCCCAUAGUGCCACAUUAAUAUGAUGCUGUGGCUGACCUGUUGGAUAUUAUUGAUGCAUUGCAUUCAGCAUCCAGUUUGUAUGAUCAGCAUUGUAGUUUCUGAUUCUGAGCAGUCUUUGGGAUUAAGCCAGUAGGCUUUGGUAUGGAAGGCUGUGUCCAUGUACUCUGUAAAGCCUGAGAUAGAGUUCUGUUUCUGUAUGUACGAGUAGGUAGUAUCACCCACCCUGGGUGCUAAAAGCAUCUCUGUGAGACUGACAGAUGUGAAGCUUUUAAAGAGUAACUUGAUUCUGUAUUUCCAUAGUUCUGAAAUUCUAAAAUAUCAGUUGCUUUUCUAAAGUAAAAACAAUUUAAAAUGGUGGGAUUCAUCUGAGAUGUGCAAGUUCUACUGAUGCAGCUAGAGGCAGU